GACGUAGGGCGCGAGCGUUGUCCGGAUUUAUUGGGCGUAAAGAGCUCGUAGGCGGCUUGUCGCGUCGACUGUGAAAUCCCGCGGCUCAACUGCGGGUCUGCAGUCGAUACGGGCAGGCUAGAGUUCGGUAGGGGAGACUGGAAUUCCUGGUGUAGCGGUGAAAUGCGCAGAUAUCGAGAGGAACACCAGAGGUGAAGACGGGUUGCUGGGCCGACACUGACGCUGACAGCGCGAAAGCCAGGGGAGCAAACGGG
rnacentral:rRNA from 1 species